AUACGUAGGGAGCGAGCGUUGUCCGGAAUUACUGGGCGUAAAGGGCGCGUAGGCGGCGCUUCAAGUCGUCUGUCAAAUGGGAGGGCUUAACCCUUUUUCGCAGACGAAACUGGAGAGCUUGAGAAGCAGAGAGGCAAACAGAAUUCCUGGUGUAGCGGUGAAAUGCGUGGAUAUCAGGAAGAAUACCAGUGGCGAAGGCGGUUUGCUGGCUGCAUACUGACGCUGAAGCGCGAAAGCCAGGGGAGCAAACGGGAGUAGAUACCCCGGUAGUCCUGGCAGUAAACGAUGUAUGCUGGGUGUGAGACUAGCGAUAGUUUCGUGCCGAAGUUAACGCGAUAAGCAUACCGCCUGGGGAGUACGGUCGCAAGAUUGAAACUCAAAUGAAUUGGCGGGG
rnacentral:rRNA from 1 species